rnacentral:rRNA from 1 species
UAACGCGUGGGUAACCUGCCUCAUACAGGGGGAUAACAGUUAGAAAUGACUGCUAAUACCGCAUAAGACCACGGAGCCGCAUGGCUCAGUGGGAAAAACUCCGGUGGUAUGAGAUGGACCCGCGUCUGAUUAGGUAGUUGGUGGGGUAACGGCCUACCAAGCCAACGAUCAGUAGCCGACCUGAGAGGGUGACCGGCCACAUUGGGACUGAGACACGGCCCAAACUCCUACGGGAGGCAGCAGUGGGGAAUAUUGCACAAUGGGGGAAACCCUGAUGCAGCGACGCCGCGUGAGCGAAGAAGUAUUUCGGUAUGUAAAGCUCUAUCAGCAGGGAAGAAAAUGACGGUACCUGACUAAGAAGCACCGGCUAAAUACGUGCCAGCAGCCGCGGUAAUACGUAUGGUGCAAGCGUUAUCCGGAUUUACUGGGUGUAAAGGGAGCGUAGACGGCUGUGUAAGUCUGAAGUGAAAGCCCGGGGCUCAACCCCGGGACUGCUUUGGAAACUAUGCAGCUAGAGUGUCGGAGAGGUAAGUGGAAUUCCCAGUGUAGCGGUGAAAUGCGUAGAUAUUGGGAGGAACACCAGUGGCGAAGGCGGCUUACUGGACGAUGACUGACGUUGAGGCUCGAAAGCGUGGGGAGCAAACAGGAUUAGAUACCCUGGUAGUCCACGCCGUAAACGAUGACUACUAGGUGU